AGCGUACACGGUGGAUGCCCUGGCAGUCAGAGGCGAUGAAGGACGUGCUAAUCUGCGAUAAGCGUCGGUAAGGUGAUAUGAACCGUUAUAACCGGCGAUUUCCGAAUGGGGAAACCCAGUGUGAUUCGUCACACUAUCAUUAACUGAAUCCAUAGGUUAAUGAGGCGAACCGGGGGAACUGAAACAUCUAAGUACCCCGAGGAAAAGAAAUCAACCGAGAUUCCCCCAGUAGCGGCGAGCGAACGGGGAGCAGCCCAGAGCCUGAAUCAGUGUGUGUGUUAGUGGAAGCGUCUGGAAAGGCGCGCGAUACAGGGUGACAGCCCCGUACACAAAAAUGCACAUACUGUGAGCUCGAUGAGUAGGGCGGGACACGUGGUAUCCUGUCUGAAUAUGGGGGGACCAUCCUCCAAGGCUAAAUACUCCUGACUGACCGAUAGUGAACCAGUACCGUGAGGGAAAGGCGAAAAGAACCCCGGCGAGGGGAGUGAAAAAGAACCUGAAACCGUGUACGUACAAGCAGUGGGAGCACAGAGCAAUCUGUGUGACUGCGUACCUUUUGUAUAAUGGGUCAGCGACUUAUAUUCUGUAGCAAGGUUAACCGAAUAGGGGAGCCGAAGGGAAACCGAGUCUUAACCGGGCGUUAAGUUGCAGGGUAUAGACCCGAAACCCGGUGAUCUAGCCAUGGGCAGGUUGAAGGUUGGGUAACACUAACUGGAGGACCGAACCGACUAAUGUUGAAAAAUUAGCGGAUGACUUGUGGCUGGGGGUGAAAGGCCAAUCAAACCGGGAGAUAGCUGGUUCUCCCCGAAAGCUAUUUAGGUAGCGCCUCGUGAAUUCAUCUCCGGGGGUAGAGCACUGUUUCGGCAAGGGGGUCAUCCCGACUUACCAACCCGAUGCAAACUGCGAAUACCGGAGAAUGUUAUCACGGGAGACACACGGCGGGUGCUAACGUCCGUCGUGAAGAGGGAAACAACCCAGACCGCCAGCUAAGGUCCCAAAGUCAUGGUUAAGUGGGAAACGAUGUGGGAAGGCCCAGACAGCCAGGAUGUUGGCUUAGAAGCAGCCAUCAUUUAAAGAAAGCGUAAUAGCUCACUGGUCGAGUCGGCCUGCGCGGAAGAUGUAACGGGGCUAAACCAUGCACCGAAGCUGCGGCAGCGACACUGUGUGUUGUUGGGUAGGGGAGCGUUCUGUAAGCCUGUGAAGGUGUGCUGUGAGGCAUGCUGGAGGUAUCAGAAGUGCGAAUGCUGACAUAAGUAACGAUAAAGCGGGUGAAAAGCCCGCUCGCCGGAAGACCAAGGGUUCCUGUCCAACGUUAAUCGGGGCAGGGUGAGUCGACCCCUAAGGCGAGGCCGAAAGGCGUAGUCGAUGGGAAACAGGUUAAUAUUCCUGUACUUGGUGUUACUGCGAAGGGGGGACGGAGAAGGCUAUGUUGGCCGGGCGACGGUUGUCCCGGUUUAAGCGUGUAGGCUGGUUUUCCAGGCAAAUCCGGAAAAUCAAGGCUGAGGCGUGAUGACGAGGCACUACGGUGCUGAAGCAACAAAUGCCCUGCUUCCAGGAAAAGCCUCUAAGCAUCAGGUAACAUCAAAUCGUACCCCAAACCGACACAGGUGGUCAGGUAGAGAAUACCAAGGCGCUUGAGAGAACUCGGGUGAAGGAACUAGGCAAAAUGGUGCCGUAACUUCGGGAGAAGGCACGCUGAUAUGUAGGUGAAGUCCCUCGCGGAUGGAGCUGAAAUCAGUCGAAGAUACCAGCUGGCUGCAACUGUUUAUUAAAAACACAGCACUGUGCAAACACGAAAGUGGACGUAUACGGUGUGACGCCUGCCCGGUGCCGGAAGGUUAAUUGAUGGGGUCAGCGCAAGCGAAGCUCUUGAUCGAAGCCCCGGUAAACGGCGGCCGUAACUAUAACGGUCCUAAGGUAGCGAAAUUCCUUGUCGGGUAAGUUCCGACCUGCACGAAUGGCGUAAUGAUGGCCAGGCUGUCUCCACCCGAGACUCAGUGAAAUUGAACUCGCUGUGAAGAUGCAGUGUACCCGCGGCAAGACGGAAAGACCCCGUGAACCUUUACUAUAGCUUGACACUGAACAUUGAGCCUUGAUGUGUAGGAUAGGUGGGAGGCUUUGAAGUGUGGACGCCAGUCUGCAUGGAGCCGACCUUGAAAUACCACCCUUUAAUGUUUGAUGUUCUAACGUGGACCCGUGAUCCGGGUUGCGGACAGUGUCUGGUGGGUAGUUUGACUGGGGCGGUCUCCUCCUAAAGAGUAACGGAGGAGCACGAAGGUUGGCUAAUCCUGGUCGGACAUCAGGAGGUUAGUGCAAUGGCAUAAGCCAGCUUGACUGCGAGCGUGACGGCGCGAGCAGGUGCGAAAGCAGGUCAUAGUGAUCCGGUGGUUCUGAAUGGAAGGGCCAUCGCUCAACGGAUAAAAGGUACUCCGGGGAUAACAGGCUGAUACCGCCCAAGAGUUCAUAUCGACGGCGGUGUUUGGCACCUCGAUGUCGGCUCAUCACAUCCUGGGGCUGAAGUAGGUCCCAAGGGUAUGGCUGUUCGCCAUUUAAAGUGGUACGCGAGCUGGGUUUAGAACGUCGUGAGACAGUUCGGUCCCUAUCUGCCGUGGGCGCUGGAGAACUGAGGGGGGCUGCUCCUAGUACGAGAGGACCGGAGUGGACGCAUCACUGGUGUUCGGGUUGUCAUGCCAAUGGCACUGCCCGGUAGCUAAAUGCGGAAGAGAUAAGUGCUGAAAGCAUCUAAGCACGAAACUUGCCCCGAGAUGAGUUCU
rnacentral:rRNA from 2 species